CCCAGCCCAGCCCAGCCCAGCCGAACUGACAAGUUGACGCCUGAGUUCCCUUUCUUCUUUGGCACGAAUCGCACCAGUAGGCAGUAGCUCUUCCUCCUUCUCCCUCUCGCUUCUGUAACUACUGUUGUUUCAGUCGGCUUUUUGCUGGCUCUACCUUUGCUGCUACCUCUCCCACAAAUUUGGAAGCUCGCUCUCACAACACAACCUCAACCAUAACCAAAAGUUGCAACAAGCUUCUUAAUAUGGAUGCGGAUGCUGCAAAAAUUGCCCGGGAAUCUCUUGAACUAGCAUUUCAGAUGUCCAACAUUCUUGACACAGGGCUUGAUCGUCACACCCUUUCCAUCCUCAUUGCAUUAUGCGAUUUGGGUCUCAACCCUGAGGCAUUGGCUGCUGUUGUUAAGGAACUUCGAAGAGAAGUCAUUCCACUUGCGCCAUCAGAUGCUGCUCGUCCUGUACUUUGAACUGGUUUUUGUGUUUGGAUUGUUCGGUUUGAUUCACUUGUUGAUUUCUCUGGAACAUAAACAAUUGCGCGCUUGAAGUAUUCAUUCGAAGUGAGUCCCUUUUUCUAAGUUCGGGAGUUGUGAUUACAUCUCAUUAGUUGCCUUCAUCUUCUUUUCUCAACCCUAAUAUACUCAGUACAGAAUCAACAGCUCUCUCCAUCUCCAAAGGCCUAAAUUUUCCCUCACUUUCUCACAGAUUACUGAGUGCGCGAUUAAGUUAGUCUUGUUUGUUCUGUUUCUUGUGUGUUCUUCAUGACUUGGUUCAUCGGGCGUGAAAUAUGGCAGAGUUGCAUCAAAACGGCGCUCUCGGACCGCAG